rnacentral:rRNA from 1 species
CUUAAAGGAAUUGACGGGGACCCGCACAAGCGGUGGAUGAUGUGGUUUAAUUCGAUGCAACGCGAAAAACCUUACCUACCCUUGACAUGCCAGGAAUCCUGCAGAGAUGUGGGAGUGCUCGCAAGAGAGCCUGGACACAGGUGCUGCAUGGCUGUCGUCAGCUCGUGUCGUGAGAUGUUGGGUUAAGUCCCGCAACGAGCGCAACCCUUGCCAUUAGUUGCUACGAAAGGGCACUCUAAUGGGACUGCCGGUGACAAACCGGAGGAAGGUGGGGAUGACGUCAAGUCCUCAUGGCCCUUAUGGGUAGGGCUACACACGUCAUACAAUGGCCGGUACAGAGGGCUGCCAACCCGCGAGGGGGAGCCAAUCCCGUAAAACCGGUCGUAGUCCGGAUUGCAGUCUGCAACUCGACUGCAUGAAGUCGGAAUCGCUAGUAAUCGCGGAUCAGCAUGUCGCGGUGAAUACGUUCCCGGGUCUUGUACACACCGCCCGUCACACCAUGGGAGCGGGUUCUGCCAGAA